UACGUAGGGUGCAAGCGUUGUCCGGAAUUAUUGGGCGUAAAGAGCUCGUAGGCGGUCUGUUGCGUCGGCUGUGAAAACCCGGGGCUCAACCCCGGGCCUGCAGCCGAUACGGGCAGACUAGAGUUCGGCAGGGGAGACUGGAAUUCCUGGUGUAGCGGUGAAAUGCGCAGAUAUCAGGAGGAACACCGGUGGCGAAGGCGGGUCUCUGGGACGUUACUGACGCUGAGACGCGAAAGCGUGGGGAGCAAACAGG
rnacentral:rRNA from 1 species